GGGGAUAAAUAAGAACGUUAAAAAUGGCUACAGUACUAACUGGUGAUGGGGCAGUCUUUCAAAGAUCAGAACUGGAAUAUUUCCUGAGAAUGGAAAAACAGAUAGAUACAACUCAUAAUCCAAUGAAAAAUGCUACCAACCCAGAAAAUGGAGACUGUUUUGUGGUCCUCUGGGAGGCAUCUAAAGGCUUGGUAAAAAGAAACACUAACAACAGAGGGUGGAGAACUUAGCCAUUACUGAACUGGUGGAUCUCCAAAGGGAUAGACGCAACUGUUGGUCUUGGCUGUUUCCAUGGAGAAGCAGAAGCCUCCAUAUUUAAAGAUGGGUUUCCCAACCAGGAAAAUACAACUCAAUUAGGUGCCAGGGACACUGCACUGCACAAGACAGACAAGCUUCCUGCUCUUGGGGAAUUUAUAUUCUAGCUUCUGUCUGGUGAAUAGAUGAAAAGAGAAUUGAGAGACCAUUUAGAAGUGUCUGCACAAGACCGGAAGUGGGCAGUGCCCCUUUUGUAAUCGUCCUCAUAGAUUACAGACUACUGAGUUGAGAAAGACCAUCUAAUCAGACCUCCUAACUUGAUACGAUAUGAAGAAUUAGACCCACAGUGGAUGAUUUGCCCGGUGAAUCGUGCCUCCGUCCACAAAUACUCAGGAUUCUCCUUCCCAGUGCAUUCUCCUUGAGCCCAUAAGGCUUCAGGGACACCGGACUGGAGAGGCAGCAGGGAGGAUGCCCUGUGAAAUCUGGGUUUCCCACUAAGCCACGAGCCUGUGGUUAUCCUGAGCAGCUGCAGCGUGAUAAAGCAUUGUGGGAAUCGGGGAGAUUCCACUGUGAGCAAGUGGUAGGAGAGUGAUCCCACGCUGUGAUUUGGUCCGAAGCUUCUCCGUGCCUCGGAAGGCUGAAAAGCUUUAAUUUUCCAAAGAGCAGUUUGUUCCACUUUUCUGCGCUUCUCUAGAUUCCAGAAGUUGCAAGAGCGGUAUUUGUGACCCCAGCAUUUGAGUUUCUACAAAGUAUGAAUGGCCAAACUCACUUAGCAGAGAGGUACGAUUAAUGGCAAGAGGCAGCUAUGUCCUUCAGCAGGAUCCAUUCUGCCAGUCUUGGAGACUCGUUUCUACCUUGGCAUUCUUCUGGACAAUUACUCUCUCUGACUACAAAAAGUAUCUCGAAGUUGAUGUCAUAUUCAAUAACCCUGUAGUUGAAAAAUCUAUAUAUGAUGGAUGAAGUUUGGACUAUCUUGAAUUUAAUUCCUCCUGUGCCAGCUUCUACGGGCCCUGGUGUGCCUGUCAUUUUGAGCCGACGAACACACGUGGUUACAGAAGAGCAAACCUCCCCACCUUGGUUUAUGCAUCCCUAAUUUGAAAUGGAGAAGAACUGUUCUGGGAAGAGUACAGGACCGAAUGAAACCGAUCAGGCAGGCUCCAAGAAGUGCCUGGAUGUUGUAAUAACUUGGGUGUCAAGAACCCGCUAAAGGGGAACUAUCAUUUCCAUGAUAGAGCAAGGGGUGUCUAAGCCUACUGAGAGCCUUGGGGCCACAACAUCACUGGGGAAGCGGACCAACCCGUGGCCACUCAAAAGCGGUACUAAUGACCAAGUGCCCUGGAGCCCAAGCCGGCCUCCGGCAUGGGCUUCUGCACAACAAAAGACAGAAUGGCAAGAGAGCGAAAGUGAUGGGGACAGGAGUGACCAGCAUCCCUAAGAGCCAGCCCUUCGAGCUCCACCAAAUGGCAGAAGAACUGUGGGGACACUCUCUGGGUCACAGGGACCGGAGAACAACACGGUUUACGCAUAGACCAGAGGUGCCCUCAGCGCACAGAAUCCGAGGACACCCUGGCCCACAUCCGCUUCAGCCGUCCAGACAUGGCACUCUCUGUGUGGAAAGCCCUGGGGUCCCCAGCCCAUGCCCGUCACAGCUCAAGCCAGCCAGCAGAGAUCGCCAAGCACACACCAUCUACCUGGAGGAUGACCAUAUACAGGAUAAUUCCUUCAGGUUUAGGAGAAGUAACUGUUACACCUAAUCCACAGAAACAAACACAGAAUGUUAAGCAAAACAGGGA